rfam:Orchesella cincta Ocin01_Sc0090, whole genome shotgun sequence.
CCAACGGUUUUAUUUAUUCCUGGAAUAAAACCACACAAAAAGAAUUGAAAAAAUUG